GUAGGGUGCGAGCGUUGUCCGGAAUUAUUGGGCGUAAAGAGCUCGUAGGCGGCCUGUUACGUCUGCUGUGAAAGCCCGGGGCUCAACUCCGGGUCUGCAGUGGAUACGGGCAGGCUAGAGUCCGGCAGGGGAGACUGGAAUUCCUGGUGUAGCGGUGAAAUGCGCAGAUAUCAGGAGGAACACCGGUGGCGAAGGCGGGUCUCUGGGCCGGUACUGACGCUGAGGAGCGAAAGCGUGGGGAGCGAACAGGAUUAGAUACCCUGGUAGUCCACGCCGUAAACGGUGGGCGCUAGGUGUGGGGUCCCUUCCACGGGUUCCGUGCCGUAGCUAACGCAUUAAGCGCCCCGCCUGGGGAGUACGGCCGCAAGGCUAAA
rnacentral:rRNA from 1 species